GGUCUCUGUGUUGAGCAUCUGUCUGCCCACAUGCCUGCCUCUCUGUUGCUCUGAAGGAGGCAGGGGCUGGGCCUGCAGCUGCCUGGGCAGAGCGG
rnacentral:pre_miRNA from 1 species